rnacentral:rRNA from 1 species
CAAAGGAAGCGAUUCCGGCAACGGAUGGGCAUGCGUGACAUUAGCUAGUUGGCGGGGCAACGGCCCACCAAGGCGACGAUGUCUAGGGGUUCUGAGAGGAAGGUCCCCCACACUGGUACUGAGACACGGACCAGACUCCUACGGGAGGCAGCAGUGAGGAAUAUUGGUCAAUGGGCGCGAGCCUGAACCAGCCAAGUCGCGUGAGGGAUGACGGCCCUACGGGUUGUAAACCUCUUUUGUCGGGGAGCAAAUUCCGCCACGUGUGGCGGAGUCGAGAGUACCCGAAGAAAAAGCAUCGGCUAACUCCGUGCCAGCAGCCGCGGUAAUACGGAGGAUGCGAGCGUUAUCCGGAUUUAUUGGGUUUAAAGGGUGCGUAGGCGGACUGUCAAGUCAGCGGUAAAAUACGGGGGCUCAACCUCCGCCCGCCGUUGAAACUGACGGUCUUGAGUGGGCGAGAAGUAUGCGGAAUGCGUGGUGUAGCGGUGAAAUGCAUAGAUAUCACGCAGAACUCCGAUUGCGAAGGCAGCAUACCGGCGCCCAACUGACGCUGAAGCACGAAAGCGUGGGUAUCGAACAGGAUUAGAUACCCUGGUGGUCCACGCAGUAAACGAUGAAUACUAGCUGUCCGGGGCGAAUGAGCCCUGG